UGUAAUCAUAAAGAUAACAUGAAAGGUCAGCAUUGAGCUUCAUGGGCUAAUUUCCCAGAAAUAGACCUAAACCACAUCAGUCAGUUAUCCUCAGGACGUUGAUAUGCUCAUUUUUUGGUGUUCAGUAAGCCUACAGGGUGCCCCACCUUGCUAGUUAGCACUCCCUAUAAUGCUUGGCCAACUGGGAUACAUACCAUGCCAGUAAUAUUUGCCUUCUCAGCCAGCUGCUAGUAUUUUAGAGAAAAGAAAUAGUACCAGGGAUUAAGUGGAUAAUAUUGAUACAUUAUGGAAACCACAAGUUUGUUUUUUUUUUUAAAAAAAACAGAGGUUACUUGUACCUUUUUACACAGAGGGGAGAGAAGGAAAUUGUGCAUCUGUGCUGAACAUUCAGACAUGUAAGUUUACUAAACAGCUGAUGUGCACUUGAAAACAAACUACACUUUUUUAAUGGGUAGUAGAGCCAAAAUUCAGUCUCAAUAAAAGCAUGCAUCUAACAUCCCAUUUUAAGCAAUUUUCAGUUCUCUCCAUCCUAAGUUUACAAAUCAUCUUCAUUGGUUGUGAUGUCAAUAAUCCUGUUAAAAACUGAUGCAGUGUAAUUUUUUUAACCUUUAUAAACAUAUUCACAGAGCUUUUUUCCUAUACUCAAUGUUUAACUGCUCACCAUUUCAAACUUAAGAGAAAAGGAGAUCUUCAGAGGACAUCACAGAGGAAGUGGGCGCUGGGAUACAUCAGUGAACAAAACUGAACAAAGAUCCCUGCCUUUGUGCUGGUCCGAUUCUCACUGGGGGAGACACAAAAUAAGCAUUGUCUCUUCCCAUUGUCACCUGAGUGAGGUCCCUGCUGACAUCCCCAGCUACAGUGUCUUUCAUCAUCAGUGAUUCGUCUCAACCUGUUAAACAGUGGAACAGAACAGAUGCUAUUAAUAGCCAAGGGUCAAGACUUUUAAUUUCUUGCCUGAAAGUUGCUAUUGUUGACAGCUCAGUGCCUAUGGAUCUGACUCAGAGGAAAAUAUGUCACCUCCUGAAUCAACACCACCUCCUUGGUUUGGGGGUAAGUGUCCCUUGUUUUAGGGACACUUACUUUUUCAUCUGAAAAUUGACACAGCCCACCCAGACUAAUCUGAAAAAGGAUUGCUGCUGAAGAGGCAAGGCAGCGAGUCACACAAAUUGAAUGGUAAGACUAGAGAUUGACUCAUGACCUUGGCAUGGAAUAGAUCCAGUGACAGGAGCUGGAACAACUGGAUCUUGGCUGGUGCCUUUCCUCAAAGAAAACUGAUAAAUCCUGAAUAUUCCAUUUAUGUGUAACAGCUGUGGCAUUGUCCCUGCAGAGUUUGUGAUAAAUUUCUGAGCAUUGCUAAAUUAACUCUUACUGUACCAGCUUGAAGGAAAUCUGUUGUAUCUGGAAGAAUUAAUACACAUCCAAGGGGACAGAAAUAUAUUUAAGACUAAAUAGAAUGCUGUGACCUUAAUCUUGUGAAAGGUCCUGCUUAGCUAAGGAAGAAAUUAGAAAACACUGUUUUAUUUUAUUGUUUUAUUUGUUUAUUUUAUGCUUCUGAUGGUACAGAAUCAACAGUUUGGGAAGCUUAAUGCCUAUGUGCCAAGAGAAGAGGUCAGAAUUCUCUGAAUUCUGACUUGUAGAGAAUUCUCUAAGAAUGUGAAGACAGCUCAGGUUUUAGGUCUAGUGUCUUAAAUUUCUCCUCUUUUACAGACUCCAGUAGUUUCAAAGACUCACUGUAGAGUAACUUCUCAACCUAAAUGUCCAUUGACAUUUAUUUACAAAACAGAAACAGACUUACAGACAUAGAAAACAAACUUACGGUUACCAAAGGGGGAAGAGCGGGGAGGGAUAAAUUAGGAGUUUGGAAUUAGCAGAUACAAACUACUAUGUAUAAAAUAAACAACAAGUCCUAGUGUAUAUAUCACAAGGAACUAUAUUCAAUAUCUCGUAUAACCUAUAAUGGAAAAGAAUAUGAAAUAUAUAUAUAUAUUUAAAAUUGAAUCACUUUGCUCUACACCAGAAACUAACUCAACAUAG